rnacentral:rRNA from 2 species
UACGGAGGAUGCAAGCGUUAUCCGGAAUUAUUGGGCGUAAAGCGUCCGUAGGUGGCUAAUCAAGUCUGCUGUCAAAGCGUGGAGCUUAACUCCAUAACGGCAGUGGAAACUGAUGAGCUAGAGUGCGAUAGGGGUAGCAGGAAUUCCCAGUGUAGCGGUGAAAUGCGUAGAGAUUGGGAAGAACACCAGCGGCGAAAGCGUGCUACUGGGUCUGCACUGACACUGAGGGACGAAAGCUAGGGGAGCGAAAGGG